GUAAUUAUUUCUCAAGGAUACACACCAAUCUGAUUAUAAAUCUCUACAUCCUCAACUUAAAAAGAAAAUGGGAACAGAGAUGGUAAUUUGUAGGCUUUUUCCAGUCUAAGUAUUUCAAGACUCAUUCCAUCAUCACUUGCCAUUUCUAAACCAAAGAUGGCAUCUGCGAGAUUGGUUUUGAGACGGAAGGUAAAGAAGAGGAGAAACUGAAGGUAGAGAAUGCGAAUGUUGUUGGGAUGAUUGCAGAAAUGGUAUUUGUCUGGAAGUCGAGGUGUUGUACCUUCCACCAUCGUCUCCCUCGCCGAUUCUCUGUCCGCAAUUUUAAACUAAAAUCUCUUGUAUAAGCGUUAAUGUGUGUGUGUGUUUUAUGCUUAUUAUGCCGUUGUUAAACAACACAUCGUGUUUGCAUGUAUACAAUUAUUAGUGGAAUUAAAAUAUCAUGUCGA